UGAGAAUGAGAAGCAGGGCAUUACUUAGCAGGAUGAAGAGGCUGAGCAAAUAAACAUGGACUGAUCCAGUGCCAUGCAGCUAUAAUGGAAGGACAUCCUGGUCACUCUGGAGCAGUAACAGCUUUACCUGGUGUCCACUCACUGCUGCUCGUAAAGCCAUGGAGAAAACUACCCACCGUUUCCUAAUAGAAGAAGGUGUGGUGACUUGCUGUGACUUUUGUGAGAGAACAAGUCUUCAUGAUAGAAGAUAAUAAAAGUAUGAUGACAGCAGAGUGCUGAAGUUUAUCAGGGCCUGUUUCUCAUUGGAUACAUGCCAGACUGUCCUUCAGGAUAUAGCCCAGCGAGUAGGAGAAGAAAUGUGUUUGAACUUGGCAUAAUUGAAAUGUACAUAAAGGGACAGACCAGAGCUGAUUCAUCAGUACCAUUUCCAUACUACGGUUGCUCUCAGGAAAAGGACUGCAUUGAUGAGUUGGUACAACAACCCUCCCAGCCAUAGAAGAAUACAUCUUACAAGAAGAUCCAUAGGUGACUAAUAGGCCAGACUGGUCAUCCCUCACCCACAGUGGACUUCAUAUUAAUCCUGUGUGGGGAGAGGAAAGUGCCUGUAGGACUUGGCAAAAUUUGCUUAUCCUUUUCUCAUGAAGACAGGCAUUUGUUCCUGAGUGGUGUGGGAGGUGGCUUCUCCUUUCUCUCUGCGUUUAGCCACCAUAAAAACAGGUAAUUCCAGAAAACAGUCUAAUAUGCAAUAGCAGACCCAAAUGUCAUUGUGGAGGUCUGAGACUCUCUCUCCUAACACACAGCUAAACUGGCAAGUGUUUUCACAAGCCUGAUAGUGAAUGCCCCAAACCAGGUUAAAUGGAGCUUACGAGGAAUGAGCAGGGAGAGAACAAACACCAAGGGGUGAGAAAGACGAAAAAGCACUAAGAACAAUGAGAAAGAAAUUCAAAGUGUAGAUCAUGGAAAGUGUAACAGAGGAGGAUCGUGAACAAAGAAAAAUUGAGAAGAAAAUUUUUGAAAAAGGAAGAGGUCAGAAGAGAGAAUAAUGGCACAGAAGCUGGUAUUGAAGAAAAGGGGUGAGAAAGUAGGAAGAAAGAUGAAAAAAAGUACAGCCACUGAUUUGAUUUGCCAUUUUCCAUUAGAAAUGUAUCCUUUUGCCACUUCUGGAUGCCAUACAGAUAUAAAAGAAAAUAGAAAGUUUUCAGCUUAAUGGGGUGAAACUCCCUUCCAGAACCCUGGCAUCAAAACCACCUGCAAAAUCCAAUAAAACAACCUACCGUAUUAAAUCGAUGUCAGUGUUAAAUAACAUCCUGUGCCAAGCAGGGAGAUGCCAGCCCAGCUGGAUGAAUACAUGCCAGAGCGUUUAGAUGAUAACUGGUAUGAUGAAUCAAAUUCUUAAGCAAAUAGAUACCUAGGCAGGGAGCAGAGCGACCAAAUUCCAUGGUGCACUACCCUGCUAUCUCCACUGGGUUGCAAAAUGUAUGAGUCAGAAGAUAGCUCUUGGCAGUAUCUGUGGAGAGUACUAUGAUCCCCACAUCAGCAAACCCGUGCGUUCUUACUUCCUGAUGUUUCUGGGCCCUUUUCAAGUGUGCUUUCUAGCAGUACUCUGCCCCAAUGUCUAUGUGGCAGUCAACCAAGGUCUGCAUCAGUGAGAAAGGGUUCAUUUACUAGAAGGAAACGGGUGCUGCAAGCAGGACAUCAGGUGCUCAGGACAUAGCAACCUCAGAGUCCAACCUCUUGCAACACAGUUGUGGUCCAGAGUCUGAGCUGCCGUCAUAAAAACAACAAACAGGCUAGAUCCUCAGCUGGCACAGAGCCGUAGAAGGUCAAGAUCUGUCUAUCUCUUGUAGCAUUGAAGAUUAUGAUUAAAAGGAUGCCCAGGAUAUAACAGAUGAAGUAAAGAGUACUGAAUUCACUAGAAACCUUAAGUAAAAGCCUGAGCUGCUUAAUUUAUCCUUGGAAACAUUUUUACCACUGUGAUUUUUUUACCUUUCUUGUGGGUGCUGUCAUAGAUGGCCUGUGGGAACAAUAGAAUUGUCAUUUCUGGAUGUUUUCAAGAAUAUCACUAUUGGGACUGAAAUAGAUGCAGCUGAAGCAGAGAAACAGACUAGAUCAUCUCUUGGUGUCUCUUCCAACCUAUUUUUUCUAUGAUUUUAGCGAAUGCAUUCAAUUACUGUCCUAAGCUUGCAGUGUUACCCUGCUUCCGUGAGAUUUGUGUAACAGAAGCCCCAACUGCCAAACCCCUUUGCUUCCUCCAUGGCUACUCAUGCAAUACAAAAUGUGGGAUUGUCAGUUUUGCAGAAGGUUGGGAAAUCAAGAUCUGAACCAUGGAGACAGUGUAAAAUAAAAAGUAAAGAAAGAUAUCAAAGUUCACAUGUAGCCAGCUUAGAACAGUGUUUCAUUUCCUGCUCAGAAUAAUUUUCUACUUCAAAUUUGGGUGACAGUUGCCACCAAAACUCCCAUGUGUUCACAACAGUACUGAAGUAAGCUGGGCCUGGAUUCUGAAGAAAGAAGCCAGAACAAGGUGCUAGAUCUCCUUCUAGGACUUUCCCAAAAGAGAUUUAGCCCAUCAGAGUUGGACAUCAGCUCUCUGAGCAUCCUGCUAUCCCUUCACAUCCACCAAGUGCUCUUGACACUUCACCCUGCUUGCCUUCUGCCAGUGAUUGGAACCAACGUGAAGUCUCUGGCUGCAUUCCCCUCACUGCAGGAUGCGACAGCACAGGCCAUAUGAGGCAAAAACGAGAGGUAGAGCUCUCUAGCAGAAACCAGUUGUCUCCUGGUGAUUUACAGACCAGUAAGAUCUGCUACACCAUCAGGUUACCUCCGUCUUGUAGGGAAAUGGUUCCAAAAUACCUCCACUUCUGUUUUUCUGACAUCAGACUACACCUGAGUAUGGGUUCAUUUGUUCUGUCGCUCCCAGUGGUACCACAGGUCUGUCAGCAACUUACUUCUCCUUUGCCCUUUACUUCCUAAAUCAAGAAUUAAUAAGGAGAACAAUUUGCUAACUUGGUUUUAGGUGUGCUGCCAGCAUAACAGACAUGGACUUACGUUUUCAGAAAAACACUGGUAGCUGACAAGUACUGCAGAGAGAUUAAAGAUAUGGGAGGACUGUGAGCAAUACCUGAGAGAAACACUGCUACUGAUAAGCUAAAAUCAGUGUUUAUUCCCCAGCACUCCUGGUAUCAAAAGAGUCAUUUGCAAGGUCUCAGCUCACUGUUGUGCAUUUCUGGCACCUGACCUUCUCCGCGUGGCUGUUGUGCAUCUGUUAGCCCGUGAGCUUCCCACUGCAUGGAUCAGACACUGAGAAGGGGGAGGGGAAAGGAAGAGCAGAGGAAGGCAGGAGAGGAGAUAAAUACCUAAAUAUUUUUUUUAUUUAUUUUAUACAUCAUCUAGGGAAAAAGACACUGGUAGGAGCUGAAUGAUAUCUGAACUCUGCUGUGCUAACAUGACAGCUUUAUGGAGAGGCAAUACUGGGUCAGAAGCCCAGUUCCCCCUACCUUUGGAUCAAGAACUGUUACACAGGGGAAAUAAGACAUUCUCAGGUAAAAGCUGUGGUAGAGUGGUAAAGAGCAGACCUGAAACCUUCCUUUGCACUAUCACUGUGUGAUGUGGUUAUAUAGCUAAUAAAUAUUGACCAUUUCAUAUGAAAUAAGGGCAGAAGAGGAAGGUAGAAUGAAUCUUACACAGCUCGCUGCUUUUUGCAGGCUGCAGUCCACACAGGAGAUACCCUCAGUCCCACCAACAGCCCCAUGGCAGAGCAGGCAUGUGGGCUCCAUACUGCAAUGCAAAACCAAAAAACAAACCUGAGCUCAUGCAGCUGCAACAUCCUGACUCCAUCAUUUGUGCUGUUUUUCCUCCUUCCUCUCCCCUCUUGCAUCUGCCUGCAGCCACUCCAGCUUGCUUUGCCUCUCCCUCCCAUCCCCUGUCCUCCUGUCCCCUCAUUUCCUAGAGCCUCCGCUGGCUCCUUUUGUGGCUUAAGGAGGAGAAAGCUGGGAGCAGGGGAUAGCAGGUCACCUGAGCAGAACCAGGAACCAGCAACUAGCAGACUUUCAACCUCAAAAACAUGAGUUAGUGGUCAGGAUACUGCCCCGGGGUGGACAGGACUGGGGAAGGUGAUUACAGCUCAUGGUAAUCUCUGUUCAUGGCUUUUCCUAGGCUGCUCUGGUAGAGUGUUAUAGCCCAGGCCAAAGGAAAUUCUGCAGCUGAUUUCACUAACAGGAUACAAUCAGCCUCUGUUGGCACUGAAUUCAGCCCUGAAGGUGUAUGAAUAAUGUUUCCCUAACUGGCAUCUGACAUUGCUCCUUGCAUUACGCUCUGAUUAGCGGGAGACAAGCGAGGCCUCUCUGACCAUCCAGUGGUUCAUGGUGUUCAAGACAAACUAUGAAUACCCACUGAAGGACGGAGGAGGAACAGGAUAGAAUGGGAUACAUGGGUUAUAAAUCGUCACCCUGAUCCCAGCUAGAAACCAGGCAAGGGUCCUAUGCCCGUUCAGCCAGUUAAAUGGGUACACGUGCAGACACCCAGCUGCAGAUGACAGCAGAGCAGCAGAUGACCUCAGCCAGCAACAUGAACAGCUGGAAGCCUUCUCUGCACCUCCCUGCAGAGCUGCAGUAGACCCACUUUUCAUGCUGCCCUUAUAUCCAGCCUGCAGCCAUGGGUUGCUACACCUGCCACGCUGCUGGUUCAGUCAUACAGAUGAAAUAUGCUUUUCUCAGACACAGAAGCUAUUAUUUCUGAGAUGAAACAGCAUCCCACACUCUUAUUAACCUGUGCCCUACUUCAGAAGUAAAUCUAAUUUGUGGCUUUCAUAGGUAGCUAGUGCUGGUGUGGGUUUGUCCCUCUGUCUGCUCUGACUUUGCUGCAUACGUUUAUGCAGUGCCAUAUGUGGCAGAGCCCUGUUUACUGUGGCCCGUAAGCAUCACCCCUCACAACAGAAUAAGGAAUUGGGGUGGUUGGAGUUUUUUGUUUCACUAGGGAAGGGAAAAGUAAAAGCACAAAUGUUAAAAAUGUCCCUGCAAAAACAAUUGUUGUAUUCAGCAGAAAAUGAUGUGCUGUCUGCAAAACAAAGUUUGUUAUCUGGGAUAUUCCUGCACAUCUGGUCACCUUCCACAGCGUGUCUCAAGAGUUGCAGCUGUAUGAGAGAGAGUUUCAGAGGAUUCGCUGGACUUCUGAUGGCAAACAUCAAACAAAAUGGGCAUUGUUUCACAAAUACAUGAAGCAAUAGGGAACGGGAAGUAGAAUCUUCAGUAAUGGCCACCACAGAAGCAGUACGUACACUAAUUUAUGUGGUAGAUUCAUCUGCAGAUUAUGUUACCUAACAAGCAAUGCAAGAAAGCAGAGGAAACCCAAACCCUUUUAUAACCGAUGCUAGGUAUUUUCAAUUAUAGUUGGCACAGUUUAUGGACUUUUUUUAAGGGAUUGAACAUAACUGUAUCAAAACCAUGAAGAUGUGUGGAGUGUGAGUGACUGUUCAUGGUCUUAUUGUGGGGGGAAAAAGGACAAGACUGCAAUUUCAGUUCCUCUAGGGGAUUCACCUCAGUUCUGUUGCUGUUCAAUGGAACGACUCCCUUACAUGGCGGUUAUUUCGGUAGCCCCUUGGUGUACUUCGAUGGCUUGCAGCUUGGUGGAAGUUGGCAUGUGAACAGAUUAACAUCUAGAUGGCUACAGUGAACGCUUCCCAGCUUGCCACCCUACAUUGCGGAUUGUCCCUCCUGUCCUUUGAGCUGGUUGGAAGAUAAACUUUGGUCAGUGUAUUAUUACUAUGCCCUUUGUAAUGGAAUAACAUCAGAUAAUAUGUAUUUAGUGGGGAUUUAAAUUCCCAAGCUGAUUACAAGGAGCUGUUAAGACUUGUAAGAUUUAGCAGUGCUCUGUGUGCGACUCUAGAAUGAUGUUUAGCCUUGCAGCGAUGUGCUCAUUCUGACGGUGUCAGAAAGGCUGGGACUUUGUUAGGAAUAAACCUUGAAAGCAUGAACAACUAAAAAUGCUAGCAAUACAAUUUGAUACACAGUAAAAAUUUGGUUUAAGUGGCUGACCAGAAAAACUAGGCUCCUAUAUUCUGAACCCUUCCAGCUUUAACAAGUCGUCUCCUCCAAGAUCCCAGACAUGUGACAAUCUCCCCAUUUCCCAGGAGUAAAAUGAGCAUAGUAAUAUUUACUGUGCACAAAGAAUGUUAUGAAAUGUAAUUAAUGCUCGUAAAAUUCUUUUGAUAUAAAAGAUGCGACAGCAGCACAAAAAAGGAUUGUUAUUUAUUAAUGCCUGUGGAAAAAAGAGGUCUUAAUUCCUACAGACACUCUGUUCUGCGGUAGCCGUCGUUGUGCUGCCGGCCACCGCUGUUGUUCCCGGUUUUAUCACAAUGCCUCCAUUUUCACCCCUCACCCGACACGAAGUGGUAAAAUAACCAGCAGAGCGGGUUCUCCUCCUCCUUCUCCCUCUCCCUCUCCCCAACCUCUCGACGGCCGCAGGCCUGUCCUGGUCGUAAAGGUGAAAUAUUCACAACCCCCUCCCCACCCGGGCCUGCCCCGGCCGAACCCGGUCGGUGCGGGGAUGUCAGACACCAGCACGCCCGAAGCGGGGCUCGGGAACUCCCUUGUCACGGAGGGAGCGUAACCAACGGAAAAAUAAAGGUCUGGCUGGGCCAGACCAGGGGAGUAUCGAGCCCAGGCGGGAGGGAGGCCUGGGCGC